UGCAGCUGCACAGCCUUCAGUCAGGUCCAGUCCAGAGGCCUGCUGCAGGGGAGGGGCCUCCUGCCACUCUGCUUGCAGGAUCUUCAGGGGAAGCAUGGAGCCCAGAGUUCUCUCCUCUGUCCCUUUCCCACGUGUGGGCGCCUUCCCCAGUGGAUCAUGCUACUUUAAUCCAUGGAUUGCAGCUUCAUCAUUGUAAAGUGACUGCUUCUGCCCCCACACAAUGCUUUUGACUUUGAAUUCAACUUUGUCUAAUAACAGUGUCACAAUUCCUGUCUUAUAUCCAUUCAGACUGCUGCUCCAGUUCUCUUGUGUUUCAGGUUCCCAGGCUGGUAAGAUUUGCUGCCCAGAACUUUGCAACUUUUUGCUGCACUGACACAUUCCCUUCGAGUUUCUUUCCCAGAAAUGGUGGAGCCUCCUCACAUGCACAAGAUAACUACAAAGCCUCACACCACCUGUUUGUCUGGAGAAGAUAAGAUAAGCGAUACUCCACCACAGACCGUGCCCAAUGACUCACUGAGCCUGAGCACAGGCUGAAAGAAUGACCAAUAUUAACUCCUAGCUCAUUAUAAUACUAAAAUCCCCACCCCGAGAGGCACUUAUCCACCAUGUUUUGAUCAUGGAACAUAUGUACUAGCAUGAUUUCUCACUGCACGUGUGUGCCCUGCACUUCACCCCAAACAUGCAAUGAGGCUCACUUCCCUCAUGCACUAUUCAUUUCACCUCUAGAAACCCCCGUUGACCCUGUUGGUUGGAGAGGUGGAUCUGAGGCAGUUCACACUUCCCAGUAGAUGUGUCCACUAUAAUAAAUCCGUUUUUCCUUGACAAUCCUCAUUGUCUCAAUAAUUGGCUUUCCAUGCUGCAAGCAACAUUGAACCCCCCUUGUGGGUUUGUUAACAGUAACCGUUAAUAGGUGGUGGAGUAAAGACUUGAAUCCAGGCCUUUCUGACCUCAAAGUCUGUGCUCUUCCCUCUUGUGUGUCACUUGCCCAAAUAUAUUUCCCUCUCCCUCUCUCUGUCCCAUUUCCUCAUCCCCUCUAUAUAUUUAUAUUCCUAGUUAUCAUGUUUUCUUCUCUAGUCACAAAAGCUUUGCCACAGAGAAGCAAAUGACUACCAAUAGUUAAGGUCUGAGCUACUUCCUCUCCAAAGAAAUUUGUAUUUUAAUGAUAUAAGUCAGAAGUGAAAAGAAUACAAUUGCAGCAGUAGAAUUACAUUAUUUGUUCAGGGAAGGCCGUUUCAGGGUUUCCUUGUCAAUGACUGGGAAGUUUCAUCACAUAAGCUGAACAGAAGGCUGGCCUCUUCCUGAGUGUUCCUCUUUUUUUCUUUUAUCUUUUUUUAUUCUUAGUGUCCCUUUAUCCGCUUGAUUCCAAAAUCCUUUGUACAAGGAGUCUCUGACCCAUUUCCUCUGUGGCUGAAGACAUGGACAAGUCUUGGACCUCUGAGUGCUGCUAGGGGACAUAGAAUACAGUGGAUGAGAGCAAAAUUUUGCUCCAUUUAUAGUUUUCUAAAGCUGUUCCACCUUAUGUCCUGGUUCCUUCUUCAUAUCCAGGUCUUAUGGGGAUACCUCUUUCUUGAGGUUCUGAGCGUUCCUUGUCUAAAAUGUAUUUUCAGAGUUUUGGGGAUGCUUAACUUACUAGUGUCAAAAGGAGGCUGCCAAGCUCUGCAUGAGUGUCUUCCAUGAAUUCAUGCUGCCCUCUCAGCCUACACCCCUUUGUGUUGGGAGACACUCUGAGGCCCUGAAUAUGAUUGUUCACUGCCCCAGGGGUGCAUCUGCAACUGAGGGGCAGGGGGAGGUAAGGGGCCUUCCCUUAGGUUUUGUCUGUUUCCUGUUUUAGGGAGACAGGUAGCCUUGCCAAGAACCUGGCGAGUGAGAGCCAUCUUGCUCACAGGUAUUUUAUUCUGUGGCUUAGUAUUUAAUGAGUUCUGCACAUUCAACAUUGAUCUGCAGUUUCAUAUUCACCCUAGAGAUUUCAGUUCCAGUGAUUGUUGCUUUGAAACCCAGGGAUUCCCUAAUGCUUGGCAUGAAUUAUUCCUAACUUUCCUUCUGCAUCCAUUCAUUCAGUCAUUCAGACAUACACAUGCCCAGCUUGGAAAGCUACAGUGUGAGCCUGAUGUGCUGGCUACUUUAGGAAAUGUAGAAAUAGAGGCUCUGUAUCACAUCACUCAGUUUAUACUUUUACCUUCACUGAGUGCAUUUUUCAACCCUAAUUUCAGGGUAUAUGCUGGGGCAUUCAUGGUUUUCUGUUUUGUUUUGUUUUGAAGUAAAAGAAUAUCCAAUCAAUACUUAUGCAGAAGGGAAAAAGGUGUUUUUUUUUUUUUUUUUCUUAUUUGACUAAAAAGUCCAGGGGUAUAGAUGGUUUCAGUUGGAGCUAAGGACUCAAAUAGCAUUCUUAAGACUUAGUUUCUCUCUAUUACUGUCUGGGCUGAAGUCUCAGGUUCCAUACGGUAACAUGAUAAUGGCAGCAGGUUUACAUUGUGUUCUUCAGGUUUAAAUCCUGAAAUGAAGACAGCUUUCUCUCUCCCAGAAUCCUCAACAACACAUUACUGCAUCUUAUUGGCUCUGGUUGGGUCAUGUGACCACCCCUAAGCAAAUCACUGUGGCCAGGGAAAUGCAGCGUGCUGAUUGGCUUAGACUCAAAUUAUGUGUUUGUUCUUAGAGCUGGGAACAGACUGAACCUACUUAGACUACAUGGACCGAGUACAGAAAGGGAUGGUUCCCUGAAAAAGACUGUAGUAAGUUACCAGCACAAUGGCAAAUGGAUGGUGGGAGGCAAAAUUUGCAGAUAUUCACUACACCUGGUCCGACCAAGAAUUUUUGAACUUCUAAACAUAAAACCAGAUUGGGAGAAGUAAUGUGAUGCUGGUGUAUUGUCAUUUCUGGGCAGUGUAAGUCUGUCACAGAAAAUCAGUGGUUUAUGGUCAAUGAACUGCUACCUCUAUCUUUAUAGUCUCUACAAUUAUUUGAUAAUAUCUCCCAGGGGAAACCAACAGGAAAAUACAGUAUCUCACUCAGUCUGGAUACUGUUGGCAAUUUUGAGAGAUAUUGCUUUGAAAGCCUAUUUAUUAUAUGUGCUGAGAACCUAUAAAUUGCUUUCGGCAUUUUGCAGAGAAGUGUGAAGUGCUUUGAAGGCUGCCAACAAAAUGCCAAGUCAGUCCAUUGACAGACAAAGGAAGAGAAACCCUUGGAAAAGAUAUUAUUAUUUCCCAUUAACUUAUGUUCUAUCUAAAUCUGAGCAGCUGAACUGAGGAAGAAGGUAAGAGAGGAUAAAAGGAAGAAAUGCUGAGUAAACCCUUUUCUAAUGGUUUCAGUGGGAGAGAUGCCACCUUCAUCAUUAUAAUUCUGAGGGAAACACCCAUAGCUUUAAAGACAUUGGAAAGCCUCUGCCUGCAGAGCAAAACUUACAGAAUGAAGAAGGGAUCUCAGCACAAAUUUCUUUGAUCAUCUUUUAUUAACAGGCUUGGGCUAGCCAAGCAAUUCCCCAAAAAGCUCUUCAAAUUUCCAAGAAGGCAAACAAAAUUAUUAAUCAUAAAAUAUUCAUUAUUAUUAUUGCAAAUAUUUUAGGGCAAAUACAGAACAGUGAAGCUGUGCCAAGAUGGUGAUCUGAUAAUGUUGGGGAUAGACAACCACACUGCACAGACUAGGAACCGAGGCGGUGGAGAAACGGCUAUAGGAGUAUGUGCCAAAGGCCAAUGGUUAUUCCAAUGGUCCUAAGGUCUCCUAAGGAGCAAGCUUGGGAACUUAGAUGGCCAAGGGGGAAAUAAGAAGCAGAAGAGCAGCCUUAGCCCUGCUUGGCUCAGUCUGAUGGGCACCUGGAUGAGCUCUGGAAUGCAGAAUUCCACACCGGCAAGGAGUGGUGGCACGUGUCUGUUACAUGCAGGUGGCUUGUCCUAGCUGAGACAUGGCAUUUCGGGAGGUGGAAUCACAGGAAGAGCUUGGAGUGAAAGUCUCAGGGGAAGAAAUGGAGAGAACAAAGCAAGUUGGAGAUCCUUGCAGAUCAUCAGCCUGUAUCUGUAUUCAUGCCUCAGUUUGCUUCUGCUGGAGAUGGUGCUGCUGGAAGCUCAGGUUCCCUAUCCUCCCAGUGAUUCUGGGAGCUAUCUGAUAUCCCUCCAUAGGUGCCUGCUGUCUUCAACUAGCUAAAGGUGACUUGUUUGCAACUAGGAACCUUCACCAAUAAACCUCUCCUCCCCCCCUUCAACUUAACUCAUCACUACUUUAAGGAACCUUUGGCUUUCCUGAUUAUGGCCAUUCACCCCAUUAUAGAUGCUCUUAGCUCCAGAUGGGCCUCCUUUAUAGUGCUUAUUGUAAGUGAAAUUAUACACUUAUUAUAGGAUUAUUUAAUAAUUCCUUCUUGCCUCCACUAGACUAUAAACUCAGUGAGGGCAGGAACCCGGUACUGUGUAUGUCCCUGGUACUUAGCACAGGGGAGGCACUGAGUAAGUAUAGCAGUUGUGAAACACCUUUUGGCAAUGAAUAGAUAAAUAAAUGAAUAAAGACUCCAGCUGGCUCUGUGUCUCCAGGCUCAUUGUAUUAAUAGGUUUCAGGACAAGUAGGUCAUCAGAGACUUUGAGGAUGGUCUUCUGAUGUUACUGUUCUUGGAGAUGAGACCCAUUUGCUCUUUUCUAAGUGUGUAUUUCCACAUAGUUUGCUCUCCUAUUGGUUUUUAGUCUCUCUCUGGCUUACAUUUUAUUUUUGGAACUGUAGUUGUCUAACCAGGGGUUUUCAGCUCCUAUCUGAUAUGUGUUUGGGACUGGUUGUAGUGCAAAGCGCUAAAAAGGAAAAUGGCAUUUGUCACUGUGCACUCUGCUUUUUCAAGGCAACACUUUCCUCUUCAAGGCUGAUUAUUCCCUAGAGGUUUGGGCAGACAUGUGGCUCAGAGAUAUAAGCACAGUAUUCAGAACACAACAUCUGUGAAGGAAUCUGGGCUCUGCGUCUCACCAGCUGUGUGACCUUGGACAGGAGACCUAAUCUCUAUGGAAUGUUGUCUCUUCAUUUAAAAAAUGAGGAUAAAGAUACUUUCUACAUGGGUUUCUGGGAGAAUCAAAUUAGGGAAUAUCAUUAAGGUCCUGGUCCAAAGUAAAUACUCAGCAAAUCUUUGUAUUAAUACACGUCUCUGACCUUUCCCUUUCUUCUCUUUCUGAAGAUAAUCUGCAUUGAGGAGUUAAGCAGGAGGCCACUCAUGGACAAUUUUUUCCAGGGUAGACCCCAGAACCCCUGAAUGAAUAAAUGAAUGAACAAAUUCACUCAGUGAGUGAAGAAAGGAAGAUCUGAAUGAAUGAGGGAGUGACCUGCACUAUCUAUUAUUAGGGGAUGUUGGAAUAGUAGUGGUGCCAGCAAUUAUUUAGUGAGUGCCUGAAGGGCUGGACAUUGUGUCAGACACUACAGAAAUGAUCUCAUUUAAUUAUCAGAAGGUUCCUUUAAGAAAUUUACCAUUAUCAUCAUUUUACAAAUGAGAAAAUGAAAGUUCAGCAAAAUUGUCACAUACUAGUGGUGGCAUGAAUAUUAAGUGGUUUUCCUAAGGUAUCAUGUAUGUGCGUGCAUAGGUGUAUUCACAGGUGUGUGUGCAUGCGUGGUGUUUAUCUUAGUCCCAACAAAACAGUAGCCACCUGUGACAUGACUGAACAAUUAUUGAAUGGCUGUAAAUGUUGGUGGUAAUCAGAAGAGUAAAAGCAGAUAAAGUGAAGGACAGAAAAAGGAUAAUGGUUUUGGAAAAGAGAAACAAGUGAAUGGACAGAGGGCUUCUUAGGCUGCCUUCCCAGGGUUUAGGGAAGAGAGGACUGGGAGAGGGCUCUGAGCAGGGCCAGGGGGCUGUGCUCAGAGAUCCCAGGAUCCAAGGCUGCAGGUCUGUGUCAGCAAGGACACCCAGGCCACCUGUAGGCACAUGUGGAAAUCUCUGCAAUGUGACGAACCAUGUGAACACCCAGAGCUUUCCUCUUAAAGGUUCCCAGUUGCUCUAUAGUUAUAAUAACACUAGAAAC